GACAGAGGCCCCAAGCGUUUAGGCGGAAUCACUGGGCUUAAAGCGUGUGUAGGCGGACGCCUAAGUGUCUUGUGAAAUCCCACGGCUCACCCGUGGAACUGCUGGGCAUACGUGGGCGUCUUGGGCCAACUAGGGGCAAGCCGGAACAAGCGGUGGAGCGGUGAAAUGCGUAGAUAAUCGAAGAGGAACACCUGAGGUGAAGACGGGUUGC
rnacentral:rRNA from 1 species